rnacentral:rRNA from 1 species
CGGGGUGCCCAGGCGCGAAAACUUUACAAUGCUGGAAACAGCGAUAAGGGGACCUCGAGUGCCAGGUUACAAAUCUGGCUGUCGUGAUGCCUAAAAAGCAUUGCAUAGCAAGGGCCGGGCAAGACCGGUGCCAGCCGCCGCGGUAACACCGGCGGCUCGAGUGGUAACCGUUAUUAUUGGGUCUAAAGGGUCUGUAGCCGGCCGGAUAAGUCUCUUGGGAAAUCCAGCAGCUCAACUGUUGGGCUUUCAGGAGAUACUGUCUGGCUCGAGGCCGGGAGAGGUGAGAGGUACUUCAGGGGUAGGGGUGAAAUCUUGUAAUCCUUGAAGGACCACCAGUGGCGAAGGCGUCUCACCAGAACGGACCUGACGGCAAGGGACGAAAGCUAGGGGCACGAACCGGAUUAGAUACCCGGGUAGUCCUAGCCGUAAACGAUACUCGCUAGGUGUCGGCCACGGUGCGACCGUUGUCGGUGCCGUAGGGAAGCCGUGAAGCGAGCCACCUGGGAAGUACGGCCGCAAGGCUGAAACUUAAAGGAAUUGGCGGGGGAGCAC